CCCUUAGAUGUCCGGGGCCGCACGCGCGCUACACUGAAGGAAUCAGCGUGGCUUUCUCCCUGACCCGAAAGGGUUGGGAAACCCGUUGAAUCUCCUUCGUGAUAGGGAUUGGGGCUUGAAAUUGUUCCCCAUGAACGAGGAAUUCCCAGUAAGCGCGAGUCAUAAGCUCGCGUUGAUUACGUCCCUGCCCUUUGUACACACCGCCCGUCGCUACUACCGAUUGAGUGAUCCGGUGAGCUAUUCGGACUUUCGCAUUGUCGAUUUUCGGCUUUACGAGGGAAAGUCUCGCGAACCUUAUCAUCUAGAGGAAGGAGAAGUCGUAACA
rnacentral:rRNA from 1 species